GGGGAACACGCUCCGCCCUCGCCGCCCGACAAUAGGCGGAGAGCGCGCCCGCUUGUGGCGAUCACCCCUCUGCGGCGGCGUAUGGUACAGCCCCAGGACGGGGGUCUUAAAGGGGCAGGAGCAGCGAGAGGGGCCGGCAACUUCACUUCCCUGGGUGAUGAGUUCUGAAUUCACCCCCCAGCCCUGAGGAACUGGGACUUGUUGGACUCCACUGUCCAAGAGCAUCUCACUGUGGAAUGGAUUCCCUCAGAAAAGCAGGGAACAGAAAUCUCCACAAACACCCAUCUGAAGGGCACAGAAGACAGGUCCAGCACAUUGCAUAUGACCAGGAGGUGCAGCUGGACUUGGAACACUCCUGGGGACAUGGUGGAAGCCGUACAAAUCAGAGAGACCAAGUGAUCUGCCACAGUCACCAAGAAGCUCCCAAAAGAUCUGGAAGCAGAAAGAAAAAUAAAUUUAAACUGUGGCUUUGUGCUCAGUCCUGUCCUUGGGGCUCACCUGGAAGGCUGUGGCAAAUACCUUGUCCCAGCAUGGAAAAAACAUGCUCCUUUCUUCCUGGAGGGAGGUUUGCACCACCUGGGACUGGGGCGGGGACUCUUACAGGGCUUCCUCUACCGCAAUAAAGCCAGGAACUGCUCCUUGGAAACACAUCCCUCUGACAGCUCUGCGGGGAGAGCGACUCUCUCCACACCGACUGAUGGAAUCGGACAAGGAGAAACAAGCGGAUUCCAGCGUGCAGUACCGCCUGUCCCCAGUGCUCGUCCUCACUGCGCGUCCUAAGCCACCAGCCUGACACACAGCUGCGCCCAUCCCGCCCCAGGGAUCCCGUCCCACUGAUCCCGCCCCACGGAUCCCGCCCCAGGGAUCCCAUCCCACUGAUCCCGCCCCAGGGAUCCCAUCCCACUGAUUCCACCCCAGGGAUCACAUUCCACUGAUCCUGCCCCACUGAUCCCAUCCCCCGGACGGACACGCUCCAGCUCCCCACUUAUAAACAAACCCAGAGAAAACCAGUCUGUCUUUCAGAUUCUAUUUCAAGUUCACAGUUUGGAGACACACAACAUUUGUGAUUGGUAUUGAUUCUCAUCACCCUUCUAGAAAAAAAUCAGUGGUAAAAUUCCUCACAAGGAGGAAAAAUCAAGGCACUAACCGGAGCGGAGUGUCAACAUUUCAAUGUUAUCUCUAGCAUUUCUUUCCUGGUAUUAAAAACAUGCUUUUAAAUCCAAACAA